rnacentral:rRNA from 1 species
UACAGAGGUCUCAAGCGUUGUUCGGAUUCAUUGGGCGUAAAGGGUGCGUAGGCGGCGCGGUAAGUCGGGUGUGAAAUCUCGGAGCUUAACUCCGAAAACUGCAUUCGAUACUGCCGUGCUUGAGGACUGGAGAGGAGACUGGAAUUUACGGUGUAGCGGUGAAAUGCGUAGAUAUCGUAAGGAAGACCAGUGGCGAAGGCGGGUCUCUGGACAGUUCCUGACGCUGAGGCACGAAGGCCAGGGGGAGCAAAACGGG